rnacentral:rRNA from 1 species
GACGAACGCUGGCGGCGUGCUUAACACAUGCAAGUCGAACGGAAAGGCCCUGCUUUUGUGGGGUGCUCGAGUGGCGAACGGGUGAGUAACACGUGAGUAACCUGCCCUUGACUUUGGGAUAACUUCAGGAAACUGGGGCUAAUACCGGAUAGGAGCUCCUGCUGCAUGGUGGGGGUUGGAAAGUUUCGGCGGUUGGGUAUGGACUCGCGGCUUAUCAGCUUGUUGGUGGGGUAGUGGCUUACCAAGGCUUUGACGGGUAGCCGGCCUGAGAGGGUGACCGGCCACAUUGGGACUGAGCUACGGCCCAGACUCCUACGGGAGGCAGCAGUGGGGAAUAUUGCACAAUGGGCGGAAGCCUGAUGCAGCAACGCCGCGUGCGGGAUGACGGCCUUCGGGUUGUAAACCGCUUUCGCCUGUGACGAAGCGUGAGUGACGGUAAUGGGUAAAGAAGCACCGGCUAACUACGUG